rnacentral:rRNA from 1 species
GAUCAUGGCUCAGGAUGAACGCUGGCGGCGUGCCUAACACAUGCAAGUCGAGCGAUUUACUUCGGUAAAGAGCGGCGGACGGGUGAGUAACGCGUGGGUAACCUGCCCUAUACACACGGAUAACAUACCGAAAGGUAUGCUAAUACGAGAUGACAUAAGAGAUUCGCAUGGAUUUCUUAUCAAAGCUUUUGCGGUAUAGGAUGGACCCGCGUCUGAUUAGCUAGUUGGUAAGGUAACGG